AUUGAACGCUGGCGGCAGGCCUAACACAUGCAAGUCGAACGAGUGGCGGACGGGUGAGUAAUGUCUGGGAAACUGCCUGAUGGAGGGGGAUAACUCCUGGAAACGGUAGCUAAUACCGCAUACCAUCGGAUGUGCCCAGAUGGGAGUAGAUAGUAGGUGGGGUAACGGCUCACCUAGGCGACGCACCCUAGCUGGUCUGAGAGGCUGAACAGCAACACUGGAACUGAGACACGGUCCAGACUCCUACGGGAGGCAGCAGUGGGGAAUAUUGCACAAUGGGCGCAAGCCUGAUGCAGCCAUGCCGCGUGUAUGAAGAAGGCCUUCGGGUUGUAAAGGACUUUCAGCGGGGAGGCGUUACCCGCAGAAGAAGUACCGGCUAACUCCGUGCCAGCAGCCGCGGUAAUUC
rnacentral:rRNA from 1 species